ensembl:lncRNA
GGCACAGUGGUUAACGAAUCCGACUAGGAACCAUGAGGUUGAGGGUUUGAUCCCUGCCCUUGCUCAGUGGGUUAAUGAUCCGGCGUUGCCAUGAGCUGUGGUGUAGGUUGCAGAUGUGGCUCGGAUCUUGCGUUGCUGUGGCUCUGGUGUAGGCUGGCAGCUACAGCUCCGAUUAGACCCCUAGCCUGGGAACCUCCAUAUGCUGCUGGAGCGGCCCAAGAAAUGGCAAAAAGACAAAAAAACAAACAAAAAAACCCAAACAAACAAACAAAAAACUUUAUAAUAUUUUAAAAGACCAUUUACCUGCUUGCUGACUCUGUAACCUAUACUUUCUGUGAUUUGUCAUCUUAAAAAUCAGUCCUUGGAGUUCCCGUCGUGGUGCAGUGGUUAACCAAUCAGACUAGGAACCAUGAGGUUGCAGGUUCGAUCCCUGGCCUUGCUCAGUGGGUUAAGGAUCCGGCGUUGCCGUGAGCUGUGGUGUAGGUUGCAGAUGCAGCUCGGAUCCUGCGUUGCUGCAGCUCUGGUGUAGGCCGGCGGCGCAGCUCCAAUUCGACCCCCAGCCUGGGAACCUCCAUAUGCUGUGGGAGCAGCUGUAGAAAAAGCAAAAAGACAAAAAAAAAAAAAAUUCAGUUCUUGAGUUUCACUCCUAUGACUGCCUUGCCUUGCUAGAGGGUUGUGUUAAUACAGUCUUACAGAAAAGCUUUUUUUUUUUUGCUACUUUUACCAAGAUUUAUUGCAGUAUAAUUGACAUGUAACAUUGUAUAGGAUUAAGGUGUACAACACGUUGAUUUGAUACAUUUAUAUAUAGCAGACUGAUUACCACCAUAGCAUUAGCCAACACCUCCUCCAUCCUGUCACAUGGUUACCAUUUCAUUUUGUAGAGAACAUUUAAGCUCUACUCUCUAGGCAACAUUCAAGUAUAUGAUACAAUAUCAUUACCUAUAGUCACCAUGCUGCACGUUAGAUCCCCAGAACUUGUUCUUCUUACAAUGGAAGCAUGUGCCCUUUGAUCAAUAUCUGCCCAUACUCCUCACCUCCCAGCCCAAGGUAACCACCACCCUACUCUCUGUUUCUCAGAGUUCGGCUUUUUUCUUUUUUUUUUUUUUUUCUUUUUCCAUUUUUUUUUAUUACUCAAAUGAAUUUAUCACAUCUGUAGUUGUUUAAUGAUCAUAACAAUCUGAUUUCACAGGAUUUCCAUCCCACAGCCCAGGCACAUCCCCCCACCCCCAAACUGUCUCCUCUGGAGACCAUACAUUUUUCAAUGUCUGUGAGUCAGCAUCUGUUCUGCAAAGAAGUUCAGUCUGUCCUUUCAGAAAAGCUUUCUUAAAAAAUUAAAACCUCUUU